AACUGUGCCAUGACUAUCAGGCUCCUCCGCUACGUGGCCUUUUAUUUUCUGGGGGCAGGCCUCAUGGAAGCUGACAUCUACCAGACCCCAAGACACCUUGUUAUAGGGACAGGAAAGAAGAUCACUCUGGAAUGUUCUCAAACCAUGGGCCAUGACAAAAUGUACUGGUAUCAACAAGAUCCAGUAAUGGAACUACACCUCAUCCACUAUUCCUAUGGGGUUAAUUCCACAGAGAAGGGAGAUCUUUCCUCUGAGUCAACGGUCUCCAGAAUAAGGAUGGAGCAUUUUCCCCUGACCCUGGAGUCUGCCAGGCCCUCACAUACCUCUCAGUACCUCUAUGCCAGCAGUGAAUACACAGUGCUACAUGGAUACCGACACUCUGCACAGAAAGGGUCACCUCUAAGGUGAGGACAUCUUGCCUCCAGAAACUUCAUCUUAAACUACAGAAACCCCUGCAAAUCUUCCCAGACUCCUCAGCUUUGAGGGACCAGUGUGCUUUAAGUAACAGUCUGGACUAAAGACUAUUUCUGGCUCAGUCUCUAACAAGCUGAGAAAUGACCCAGCCCCACAAUCAUCCUAGCUGACUUUUUCCUUGCCUCUAGUUGUUAUUGUUCAAUUGAGCUUGCACAAAUUUUAUCCUUCAAGAUAAAUGUGAUAAUAUUUGACAGUUACCUUAUGGCUAGCUGAAGAAAGUCUUUGUCAGCUAAGAAACAGGAAAAGGAUCAUUUGACUUUCUGCACAGGCUGUCUUUAUCUCUGGUUCAUGGU